CAUUAAGAAUUAAGUAUAAUAAUUUUGUGUAAAACAAUGUACAUUAAUUAAUAGACUUAUGGGACUAAUAACAUCCGUAAAGCUAUAUUACUUCAUGAGUUAUAAUUAUUCACCAAUUAUUGCAGCCACAUUUAAGAAACAAACAAAUGGAGGAAUAACUAUAUACAUAGUUGAACCUAUUGCCUAGAUGACUUCUAAAACACAUUCUCACACUCUUGAUCUCUUUCUGGUUGUUUGUGCCUUUCAAGCGUAUUGGGAGCAUCAUUGCAGAGAUAUGGAACGGACUUCGAAACACUUUCACAGGAAAUUUGGAAUUUUUUCUAUCUUCCUGCAACAAAAAAGCUCUGAAAAUAAUCGAAUCAAGUAAUAAUAAAUAAUCGAUAGUAAUAAAUAAUCGAGCCCCACAAUAUACUUGAAUUUUCUUGAUUUAAAGCUUUAACCGAUGAGGGACUUAAUCAAUGUUUUGUAUCGUGUAGCAUGUUCAAUACAUGUCACAAUCAAC